rnacentral:rRNA from 1 species
UACGUAGGGGGCAAGCGUUGUCCGGAAUCAUUGGGCGUAAAGAGCGUGUAGGCGGCUUGGUAAGUCCGCUGUGAAAGUCCAGGGCUCAACCCUGGAAAGCCGGUGGAAACUGUCAAGCUUGAGUCCGGAAGAGGCGAGUGGAAUUCCUGGUGUAGCGGUGAAAUGCGCAGAUAUCAGGAGGAACACCCGUGGCGAAGGCGGCUCUCUGGAACGCAACUGACGCUGAGACGCGAAAGCGUGGGGAGCAAACAGG